CGCGGCCUAUCAGCUUGUUGGUGAGGUAACGGCUCACCAAGGCAUCGACGGGUAGCUGGUCUGAGAGGAUGAUCAGCCACACUGGGACUGAGACACGGCCCAGACUCCUACGGGAGGCAGCAGUGGGGAAUAUUGCACAAUGGGCGCAAGCCUGAUGCAGCGAUGCCGCGUGCGGGAUGAAGGCCCUAGGGUUGUAAACCGCUUUCAGCAGGGAAGAAAAUGACGGUACCUGCAGAAGAAGGUGCGGCCAACUACGUGCCAGCAGCCGCGGUGACACGUAGGCACCAAGCGUUGUCCGGAUUUAUUGGGCGUAAAGAGCUCGUAGGCGGUUCAGUUAGUCGGGUGUGAAAACUCUGGGCUCAACCCAGAGACGCCACCCGAUACUGCUGUGACUAGCGUACGGUAGGGGAGUGGGGAAUUCCUGGUGUAGCGGUGAAAUGCGCAGAUAUCAGGAGGAACACCAGUGGCGAAGGCGCCACUCUGGGCCGUAACUGACGCUGAGGAGCGAAAGCAUGGGUAGCAAACAGGAUUAGAUACCCUGGUAGUCCAUGCCGUAAACGUUGGGCACUAGGUGUGGGUCUCAACCAACGAGAUCCGCGCCGUCGCUAACGCAUUAAGUGCCCCGCCUGGGGAGUACGG
rnacentral:rRNA from 1 species